CCUCCUGACUAGCAGGGGGGGCACCACACUCGAGUGUAAUAAACCUGCUAUCUCUGUAAUACUGUGCAGUUGUGGACUUUGUUCAUGUGCCUCAGCCUAGACUCGAACUGCGCGUGACCUAUAGAUCAUCAGAGAAAAAGGAUGCCAGCUAAACAGCAUUCAACGUACCAUGCAUUUACUGGUUUCUUUUCUCACAGAUAAAAGAAGUGCUACCCAAAGACCCUAGCAGCCCUGCCAUUCAUUGAAACCAGGAGACUGAGUCUACGUAAAGUCCAUCAACGAAAGACUGCUUUGGCUCCAUGCUAGAAAGGCCCUUUCCAAGUCCUGUUAACCACCAACACCGCUGUGAAGUGCCAAGGACUGCCUACCUGGACCCAUGCUUCGCACUGAAAAAAAGGACCCCUCCACCUCGGGAGGACUCUCCGACUGAUGAUAAGCCUCUUUCUCCUUCUAGCUCUGCUGUGCCUUCUGGACAGCAGGGAAAAAGGACAAGGUGAAGUGCUAGUAACCUCUCCCUUGUCCACUAACAGACCUACUGUGCCUCUGGAUUUUUCUAGAAGCAAAACCAUUACAGGGUGAUGUGCUAGUAACCCCUCCCCUGUACAAAUGCUGAACCACAACUGUUUCAGGAAAAGAGAAAAAGGAGGGAUAUUAUAUCUCAGUGGAGAGAUAUAAUAUCUCUCCACUGAGAUAUUAUAAAUAAAAUAAAAACUCGCUCCACUGAAACCACAAAGUCCAGGAAUUCCUGACUACAAAAGACAUUAAAAACUGACCCUGGUAAAGAAACAAAGAAUUAUACACUGGCAAGAAGAAACGUGUGAACCCAUGCUUAGGAAUGUGGUAUUGAUUGGAUUUUGGGGUUUAUUCUACAGGCUGUGCCCUGUGUUUUGGAUAAAUCCUUCAGCAUAUAUUGCCCUCCCUAAUUGGAUUUUAAAUGACAAGUACCAAAGGCACCUUGUUGCCACUGCCCCUGCCAUCUCCUCCAUUACACUAUUACCCCUGUAACACAUCCAAAUACAGACAAUGCCAUAUAUUUGAUAAAACCAAUGGCCAAGGCCUUCACACUUUAGUGAUUUAUUUAAAUAUUGUUUGGAAAAAUUAUUUUAAGUUUCAGAAUAUCCCAUAUAAGCAAACAAUUGAAUGAAAAACAAAUGGAUCAGUGGAGAUAGAAAUAUAUGAUAUCACUACUAGUGAACCCCAAGAAUCUGUAAUUGAAAUUGAUGGGUUCUAUAGUGAAGUAGAUAUGAUGGCUGUUCCUGGGAAUUUGCACUGUGUUAAAUAAGAGAGGCCCUUAUUGUUAUUUGGUCACCCAAUUAGUGAAUAAUCAAAUGAAUACCCAAAGAGUUUGUUCUGCCACUGGAAAUUUUACCUGCAUAGAAAUUAUUCCAGUGACUAAUAAUGUGACCUGUACCUUAUUGCAAUACUCCCCCUCUUAUGCCAUUAAUAUCAAUGCCUCAUGGAAGUACAUAAAGGUGUUCAACCAACAGAUGUGGUAUAGUACUACACCAAAGAGAGAUGUAUUAGGAUAUCGAUGAACUGUGAUUAGCACUACACUAGGGAGUCUGCCCUUAGUUCAAUGACCCAAAAGUUGCUGACAGAGAUGGUAUUGAAUAUCACUGAGGCUGAAAAGGCAUUGCAGUGGAAUCUAGCAUGUUCAGAAAUUCAGGAUUUCCUGAAUGACCAGCUAAUGGCCAUUCGGAAUGCUCUAGAGCAUCAGGCUUGGCCCACUGCCCUUACAGACACAUCAGGAGUACCAUCUGAUCUGUGGCCAUGAAGACAUACUUGCAGACUUUCUGGGUGAAAGUGCGGACGUUCUCAGUGUUCCUUCCAAGCAUAUGGACCGGUUAGGGGUGUGUGGGCUCCCACAUACCGAACCCUGCCGGGUCCAUGGGGAGGAUGCAUGUGGGAUUGGGUAAUUCACCGAGACAUCUGGGAAAUUAGACCUCCUGGUAUGCCCAAUCGAUUUUUAGUCAGUGCUCCUGAGAUUACACCUGAAAUUACACCUGGGAUUAGGGAGUCAAUGGACAUUUUUGCCGCUAGAACCCCCACAGCUUCAGUGUAUCCGUAAACUGAAGCCAGGAAAAGUUGUCACUGUUUAUGACUGCGUUUGCUGGAAGGGUAGGGGACAAGGACUACCCUGACAGGACACCUACUUUUUCAAGUUAAUGAUAACUGUGUGUAUGUUAAAACCACCACAUUGCAAGAUAUAUAUUUUAAUCUCAUUACUACUGCAGGCAAUCAUAUUAUUUCCUGGCCUGCAGAAAGAAUUUUGCAAGUAGCCCUUAGGUUCUAAAUACCCUUUAAUUGGACCACCUUAGUACCUAAUCGAUUUCAAAAUUUGCUUUCAGUGUUACCAGAGGUUCAAAGAAACUCUGAAAUACAAGGGCAAAUUCACGUUUCAAAAUAUAUAUCAAAUUGAAAAGUAAGCCUUUCAUACAGUUUAUAGAGUGUCUAUUUUAUGUAGUAAGUAUAAGGUAUUGUGUUUUAUGACUAAAACUGUACAACAACCCCAUCAUAUUAUUGCUAUGGGAAUGUUAUUGUUUGUAUUGUUAUUAGUUAGUUUAGGAUUAUGUUAUUGUUUUUGUAUUUUUUUUGUAUGUUUGCAAUGCUGUAGUAUGUGCUGUCGGCAACUAUUAACCCUCCAUUGAGGUUAUUCUGCCCCGAUAUAGCCUACUGACGUACAAAAGAAAAGGAGGGACUGUUAAGGAAAGUUUGCUUAUGUAACUUCAUUUUGGUUUGGGCCCGCCCUUAGCUAGAAGCAAGCACAUCGUAUACCAGGAGACAAGGGGGAAAAAGGGGGACAUCUGGACACAAAGAGAUAAGGGCAACAGGGAAAAAGCUAACCGCAUGCCUAAGUAAUUGCAACCCUAGGCAGCACGGGCAAGGGCCUAGCGGGGAUAGGUGGCAAAUAAGAAAAAGGCUUGUUUAUUGGCUAAGGCUUACGAUGCACGAGGGCAGCAUGUCUUGCUUAAAGGUAUAUAAUCUUUGUGUAACCUCAAUUUUGAGUCCCCUCCUGACUAGCAGGGGGGCACCACACUCGAGUGUAAUAAACCUGCUAUCUCUGUAA